rnacentral:lncRNA from 1 species
CCCACAACCAAACAUGCAAAAUAUAUAUGGUGUCCUUUAUUCAAAAAAAAUUUGUCCUCCUAUAUUUAAUUUUUUCGACAGGGUUGGUUGGUUGCUUUGAAAGGACUUUACACAUAUGUGUAUAACAUACAUCAAAAUUAUCAAAUUAAGCUGGAAAUAGUCUGAUCGUCUUAAAUUUUAAUCGUUAACAAUCGUACAAUCACGACUUGAUGUAUGUAUAGUAGCCAAAUUCGCUGUGAAAGGGAUCCGGCCCUUUGCAGCCUAUAUAAAAAUCCAAACAAAACACACACAGUGUAACCCAUCAGUUCAUCACACAAAAACACACCAUGAUGCCUCCUCUCCCAUUUUUGGUCGUGUUUUUGCUUGCUUCCGCCGGACUGGCUCUAACACCAACCGCCGGUCCGGCUCAACUACCAUCAACCACUCCACCUCCCCACGAUCCACCACCACCUCGACCUCCACCUCCCUACGGCGGUCCACCACCACCUCCACCUCAUCACAUUCCACCACCACCUCCUCACGGUCCACCACCACCUUCACCUUAUCACGGUCCACGGCCACCGCCACCCACUUGACCUUAGCACGGUCUGCCAUCACCACCCACUCGACCUCCCCCCAAACGUCUUCUUCCUCCGCCACCGUUCGCCACCUUUUCGGGUUUGCUCUACUCAUGGCUUUUGUGGUUCCUCGUUGGUAUUUGUGUUAUUCUUCUUGUCUUGGUUGUUGUUACAAAUUUCCGGAGUCUGGCAGCUCAUGUAGGGUUCUUGCCUGAGGUGGAUGUGGAUGGGGAGGCGGUGGCGGCCAAGCGGUCAACCGUGUUGGUGUGGGAAAAUAGGAAAAUCUUGCAGUAGAUAAUCAGUGAAAGGCGAAAGCUAGAAGCAGAGAGUAAAGGAUUGUCCCUCCUUAAAGCCGCAAAGGCAGCUGCCCAACCAUAAAACCCCGAACCCAAGUUUGAGGCAGCCGCCCAACCACAAAACCCUAAGCCCUAAUCCUAGAAGGACUAUAAGGAAGAACCUUGGGUUGAUAUGGAACUUUAUAGGAAAGCCAAGACAAGCACUAAACUCAGACACUUUGUCAAGUUUGGGGGCACAAAUAGUACUAGUGGGCAGUACUUAAACUCAGGAACUCCUCAUACUGAUGAGUCAAUUGGAGGUGAUCUCCUCCAAGGCGGUGGUGACUGGCCAACAGCCUCAAGGUCCCAAUGAUACAACUUUCUUGGAAUUGUCAUGGGUUGGGGCGUGUCAUGACUAGCUAAGCUCUUAAGGAGUUAAUUUUCAAAUUCCGCCCUAUUUUUGUUUUCCUUUCUGAAACUAGAAUGAAUAAAAAAAAAGUAAAAAAAAAGCGAAUGGAAUGCAAAUUUUCUCACAGAAUCUUUGUUAAUCCAAUAGGUACCAAAGGAGGUUUGGCUCUAUCGUGGAGUGAUUGUGUUUCAGUUCAAGUACUCUCAAAAUUUGUAAACCUCAUUGACACAAUUGUCACGUUCAAAUCAGAUGGGUCCAGUGUCAGGGUGUCUUGGUUUUAUGGUCCACCGAAGAAGGAAAAUAAACCAGCAUUCUGGAAUAGCAUAAUGAGUCUUGAAGGAGCUAUCAACUUGCCCUGGAUUUGCUUAGAAGACUUUAAUGAAUUCAUCUGGCCUCAUGAAAAAGAAAGGGGAAAUCCUUGGAAUCCAGGCAAAAGAAAAUACCUAAGAGAGUUUAUGCAAGCUAACAAUCUAAUUGAUAUCCAGUUUAAGGGGCAGCAAUUCACAUGGAGCAACAAUUGGCCAAAUGGGGAACUAAUAAAAAUCAAGCUUGAUCGAAGUGUUGUUAAUGCUAAUUGGCUUGAGCGAUGGCCUGCCUCAUGCAUUUUUCAUUUCCCUAUGAUUGGCUUUGAUCACUGCCCACUAGUUAUUGACACUGAUCCCCCAAGUAAGAAAGGUCCUAAGCCUUUCAAAUUUGAGCCUAGUUGGAUUGAAGAUCCUGAGUGCUUGGAUAUUAUCUUAGAAGCAUGGUCUAAUCAAUCUGCAGACAAUCUUGCACAACAACAAUGGACAACAAAUCUCCAUCAGUGCAAUAAAAGCUUAAAGCAAUGGAGCAAAAAGUUUUCAAACAAUAGAAGAGAGAUCGAUUCCAAUAUUGAGAAGCUUCAAGUUUUACAGCAAAGUCCCAAUCCGGAAGCCGGUCAGCUUGCUACCAAUGUCACCGAUAAACUUGCAUCCCUUUGGGACAAAAAGGAAAAGUAUUAGGCUCAAAGAUCUCGGAUUAAAUGGCUGAAAACGGGAGACUCUAACUUAAGAUUUUCUCGCCUUACCACCAUCCAUUGGACGCAGAGAAAUAAGGUGGUAAAGUUAAAAAUUUGUGAGAGUGCUUGGAUGGAGAAGGAAGAGAGCAUUAGAGAUGAAUUUGAGGGAUAUUUUAAAAGCUUAUUUACUGGAGUUGGGCCAAGAAUCUGGACAGAAGCUCUUGAGGCAAUUAAUCCAGUUAUUUCGGAGGACACAAAUAUCAAUCUGACCCAGCCAAUCUCAAUUGAAGAGAUCAAGGACCAGACGGUUUUCACGGCAUAUUCUACCAAAGUUUUUGGAGGAACGUGAACGAGAUUAUUGAUAGGGCAGCAAAAGAGUUUUUCAGCUCGGGGGAAAUUCUGGAAGACCUGGAUCGCACAAACAUUUUACUGAUCCCAAAGGUACCGAACCCGGAAUCAGUUAGUCAAUUUUGUCCUAUCUCUCUGUGUAAUUAUAUUCUCUCCAAAGUUUUGACAAACCGUCUCAAACUUGUUCUGCCAUAUAUUAUAUCUCCCAUCCAAGGGGCUUUUGUUCCUGGUCGACAGAUCCAGGAUAACAUCCUAGUUGCCCAUGGAGCCUACCACUAUCUAAAGUUGAGAAAAAGUGGAGACAUCCAUGAACUAGCCCUCAAGCUUGACAUGAGCAAAACUUAUGAUAGGGUUGAGUGGGACUUUCUAGCGGCAAUCAUGUUGAAAUUAGGAUUUGGAAGAGGGUGGGUAUCCUUGAUUAUGGGUUGUGUCAAAUUUGUCACUUUUGCAGUCACCAUCAAUGGAAAAACAGGAGAGUACUUCAAACCUUCAAGGGGGCUCAGUCAAAGAGACCCCAUAUCUCCUUACCUUUUUCUCUUCACUACUGAGGUCUUCUCUUCUCUCAUUCAAAGAGCUGGUGAUCAAUGAACUCUAAAUGGUAUCUAUCUAAGUAGAUUCACACCCCCCCCCCCUUUACCCCACCUUUUUUUUGCCGAUGACUCAUUGUCUUUUCUAAGGGCUACAAAAGAAGAUUGUGAGGAGUUAAUGAGAAUCAUAAAUCUCUAUUGUGAUGCUUCUAGUUAAAGGGUCAACCUAGAAAAGUCAAGUCUUUUUUGUAUGCCAAACACCCCUGACAAUCUAGUUGAAAUGUUAAGAGAGAUCCUACAGGUGCCCUUGACUUUGAACCCAGGAAAAUAUCUUGGACUUCCGACAGUGUGGGGUCACUUAAAGCUUCUUUGUUCUUCAUCAAAGACAAACUGUUAAAUAAGUUGCAAGGUUGGAAGAUGGGGAAUUUAUCUACAGCGGGAAGGGAGGUUCUAAUCAAAUCAGUGGCAUUGGCGGUUCCUAACUAUCUGAUGCACUGCUUCAAAUUCCCGGUUACUCUAUGCAAGGAGAUUGAUGUUGUAAUAGCAAAGUUCUUGUGGGGUCAGAAGAAGGAUGAAAACAAAAUUCACUGGAAAAGCUGGGAUUAUUUGGGUAUGCGCAAAAUCAAGUGGAGGAAUGGGCUUUAAAAACUUAGAUGAUUUCAACACUGCACUCCUAGCAAAGCAAAUAUGGAGGUUACACACAGAACUGAAUUGUUUUUGGGCAAAGAUGAUGAAGGGCGUAUAUUUUCCCUAUUCAGACGUGCUACAAGCUAGGAAAGGAUCCAGAGCUUCUUGGGCAUAGAGCAGUCUCCUUGAAGGUAAGGCUCUCAUUGAAGAAGGAUCUAGAUGGAUGAUCGAAAAUGAUUGUUCCAUUGACAUUUGGAAAGACAAAUGGAUCAUGAAUUCUGAUUUGGGUUUCAUUCAUCCAAUUAUGCCCGUUUCCCAAUCUAUGCCUACCAAAGUUUCUAAUCUUAUUGAUUGGGAAUCCUAUUCUUGGAAGCUUCAACUAAUUAAUGGUCUAGUUACUGAGAGAGAUAUGCAAGACAUUGAGAUGUAGAUGUUUAGUGAUGUUCUUGUUGAAGACAAGUUGAUUUGGCCCAUAACUAAGAAUGCCCGUAACUAAGAAUGGCUAUUAUUCUGUGAAAUCCGGGUAUAAUCUCUUCCACUCCCUAAAGUCUAUGCCCACUGGACAGUUGAGUCACUCAUCUCACAAGGUAAACCAGAUUGUUUGGAAUGCUAUAUGGUCUGUCAAAACCCUCCCCAAGAUCAAACAUUUUUUAUGGCAAGCUGUUAGCAAUGCAAUCUCUACUUAUGCUAAUCUAUUCCACAGGAAAAUUGUUUUCUCCCCUAUUUGUCCAAGGUGUGCCCUAGCUCUAAAAACAAUUAAGCAUAUCAUCCUGCUCUGCCUUACUGCUAUAUGCACUUGGUUUGCAUGCUCUUUAAUUUAUAAAAUCAAUGUUCAAGAAGUUACAUCUUUUGAUAGAUGGAUUGAACAAAUUUUCAAGCUAGCAGGUCCUAAUAAGAAGCUUCAAAGUAAUUGUCUUACCAUGAUUUCCUUCAUCUGUUGGGAGCUUCAGAAGAGUAGAUGUCUGUCCAUUUACCAGGCCACCACUAUCCAUCCUUUGUUGAUUGCAUUUCGAGCAGGAAAAGCCACUAUGGAAUUCCUGAAAGCAAACAAUCAUGGUGACCAUCAUGAACGAGGUAUGACUUCUAACUGUACACACACUUCUUCCUUCCCUACUCAUACCUCCCCGUUCCCCAUUCAUAAUCCAAUUUAUUGUUCCCCACAAACCCUAGUUGUUACCAAUAUGUCACUCUCCUUCUCACAACUACUACAUCCCUCACCAAUUCCCCUCUCCACCAACACUCAAGUUCAACAAGCCUCAGAGCAUCCAACCUCACACACCAACAAAAACAAUCAUCACACCCCUUGCAAGACCUAAACCAUUCUCUUACCCACUUGUGCACUACCCCAAAUCCAUCCCACCAAAUCCAAGCAUCUCAAAUUCAUAACCACACCUUAACUAAUUCCAACCCUGCCAACCUUCCUUCAAACCUUCAUGCAUCUCACAAUCAAACCCCACCACAAAAAACCCAUCAUCCACAUUCCCAAAUUCCUAACACAAACCUUAACCCUCAAAAUCCAAAAUUCACUUGGACAAAGCCACCUAUUGGGGGCAUCAAAAUCAAUUUCAAUGCAGCUUGGGAUAGUAAAACCAACCUGGCUGGUCUUGGUGUUGUAGUGCGUAAUGACAAUGAAGCUCUUGUUGAUGGUGUAUCUCUUUAUUGCCGUUCAAGUUCGGCAAUCGAAGCUGAAGGAAAAGCCACCAUCGUUGCUCUCUCUUGUGCCCAGAAGUAUAUUCACCUCCUUGUUCAAAUUGAAUCAGACUAUGAAGAUUUAGUGAAAGGCAUUAAUGGUAUCAACUCUGAUAGGGAUUGGAGAAUCUCACCUGUGAUUGCUCGGAUUCGAGCAGCUCUCCCUCCAUGCAGGCUAAUCUCUUGGUCUUGGAUUCCCAGAAAAGCGAACUGCGCAGCCCAUCACGUUGCAUCGCUUAGUGUGAGGAAGACGUGCCCGGAUGUCUGGAUUGAUAAGCCCCUGUCUUCCCUGGUCCAUGUUCUCUCUCGUGACGGCUUGCCGUGUCCACCACCGGCGUCAAUAGCAGAGCAAAGACCGUAGUUUUCUGAAGGUCUUCUUUUCUUUUUUUGCGUCGUUGGUUUCUGCUUUCUUCUUUGUUUUUUGUUUUUCUUUCUAGUGUUGUCGUUUUUUUUCCUCUCUUUUAGGCUUAUCUAAUCGUGCCUUUAAUUGGGUUUUGUGACUAUGAAAGCUAACUUGUUUCAUUUGCUGGGCCCCAUGCCUGGUUUGUUUUCUCUGCCCUCUUGGGCUUUAAUGAAUAUCUUUUCACGUCCAAAAAAAAAGGUCAGCCUCUUGGGAUUAGUAAUUGAGAUCCCAAUAAGAAUAGCUUAAUUGGGAUCAGUAAAAAAUUUAUUUUUAUUUUUAUUUAAUUAUUUAUUUAUAUUGAUACAACAUGGACUCCUUAUGAGAAUUUUGUAUUAACCAAACAUGCAAAUUAUAAUAACAAAAAGGAAUGGCAGUAAUUAUACUUUUACUCUGAAGUAUAAUGUUAUGGCCGAAAAUGCAUGCCCACAACCAAACAUGCAAAUUAUAUAUGGUGUCUUUUAUUCAAAAAACAUUUGUCCUCCUAUAUUUAAUUUUUUCAGCAGGGUUGGUUGGUUGGUUUGAAAGGACUUCUUUACACAUAUGUCUAUAAUAUACAUCAAAAUGAUCAAAUUAAGCUGGAAAUUGCCUGAUCGUCUUAAAUUUUAAAUCGUUAAUGAUCGUACGGUCACGAUUGUGAAAGGGAUCCGGCCCAUUGCAGCCUAUAUAAAAAUCCAAACAGAACACACACAGAGUAACUCAUCAGUUCAUCACACAAAAACACACCAUGAUGCCUCAUUUCCCAUUAUUGGUCAUGUUUUUGCUUGCUUCCGCCGGUCCGGCUCUAACACCAACCGCCGGUCCGGCUCAACCACCAUCAACCACUCCACCGCCCCACGGUCCACCACCACCACCACCUCCACCUCUACCUCAUCACAUUCCACCACCACCUCCACAUCAUCACAUUCCACCACCACCUCCACCUCCCCACGGCAGUCCACCACCACUCCACCUCAUCACGGUCCAUCACCACCUCCACCCACCUCCACCUCAUCACAUUCCACCACCACCUCUACCUCCUCACGGUCCACCACCACCUCCACCUCAUCACGGUCCACGGCCACCACCACCCACUCGACCUCACCACGGUCUGCCAUUACCACCCACUCGACCUCCCCCAAACGUCUUCUUCCACCACCGUCUGCCACCUCUUCGGGUUUGCUCUACUCAUGGCUUAUGUGGUUCCUCGUUGGUACUUGUGUUAUUCUUCUUGUCUUGGUUGUUGUUACAAAUUUCUGGAGUCUGGCGGCUCGUUUAGGGUUCUCUCCUGAGGUGGAUGUGGAUGGGGAGGCGGUGGCGGCCAGGCAGUCAACCGUGUUGGUGAGGAAAACAGGAAGAUGUUGCAGCAGAUAAUCAGUGAAAUGUGAAAGCUAGAAGCAGAGAGUAAGAGAUUGUCCCUCCUCAAAGCCGCGAAGGCAGCCGCCCAGCCACAAAACCCUAAACCCAAGUCUGAGGUAGCCGCCCAGUCACAAAACUCUAAACCCAAGUCUAAGGUGGACUAUAAGGAAGAACCUUGGGUUGAUAUGAAACUUUAUAAGAAGCAAGCAGCUGCGAAGUAUUGGGCAGAAAGGCAAAGACAGUGAAUAAAGGCUUGAUAUUGUUGGGGUUUGAUAGAGCCUUGAAUUUGGUAAUUGAGUUUUGAUCAAAAUUUUGGCUUUUGAUGUUAAUCUAUCUGUUUUGAUUUUGUUUAAAUGUAGGGAAGUGUGGAUUUGGUGAGAAAGAUUGAAAAUCUGAAAUGUAGGGAUGAUAAUCUAUCCGUUUUGAAUCUAUCUGUUUCGAUUUUGUUUAAAUGUAGGGAUGUUAAAUAUUUGGUGAAUUUGGUCAUCAAAGAGAUAGAAAAUGCACAUAUGGUAGAAUACAAUACAUGCAUAGUCUUGCAGCAACGCAAUUUGAUCACACUAGCAACUUAAUCACACAUGGUAACAAUAUACACUGUACGUCACACUAUAUAUGUAAGUAAACAUGGAUUGGGAAAUUGUAUCAUAUAGCUUAUAAUAGCAGUAUGGAAAUCUUGUUGCCCUCCUAAUGACUGCAAGACUUAUGUAGCAAAGUAUUCAGACUCAACACACACCUUUGCAGUGCAGCAAUUCAAUAGCCCAAGCAUAUAUGUUUAGAUUAGUAUGU